rnacentral:lncRNA from 1 species
CUAAAAAGUCUAAAUUCUCAUUUAAAUUUAAAGCCAAAAUGUAUCAACCAUUCAAAAUACAUUCCAAAAAUACCAUUCGUUUACAGUUUCAAAUUACUACGUCCACAAAAUAUAUAUCAAACUAUCCAUAUAUGCAUCUCAAAUUCACUUUUCAAUAUAAAUAUAAAUGAACAUGUUACAUAGCACUGUAGAAACUACAAAUGAAUCAAUGAGUUGAUGCCAAAGACAUUUUGUACACAACCGAUAAGUUGAUGCCACAUGAAAUCCACUGCUCCUCCCAAGAAGCUACAAAAAAGAAAAUGAAGCAGCACGUUAGUGAAAGAUGUGAUGUACAACACCUAGAAACACCAGACUUCUUUGAUUAAAAUUUUAUAUCAAUAUGAAAUACACCUAUAUUAAUAUCCUGGGUUUAAACCAUAUUAUCAAUCUGAUUAUCUAUCACCCAUCUAUAUAUAUACAAAACAAACUCAUAUGGAGGGUUAAAACAAAAUUCAUUUAACCAGCCUCAAAUAGUUGGGAUUAGGCUUUACUAAGUGAAGAUGAGGAGAGCCCAUUCAUGUAGAUAUAAUAGUCCAGAGGAUAGAAACCUUAAUAUUAUAAUUAGUUUACUGACCACCACUGGAUCCAGACCCAUAUACAAACUACUGAUUACUGAGUCCUAACUAGGUCACAAUAAUGAUCAAAUUUAUGCACAAGUUUAGCCCCAAGUCCCAACCAACUUUGUGGUAAAUGGAAGGUUAGAGUUCAGGACCUCAGGUACACAUUUACCCCUAAAACACAACUCCUUCAAAUGUUAUCCAUUGUUGGAAUUUGCACUCAAGAGUUGCCAGGUUUAAAUGUUUUUUUCAUAAGGAACUUCACAUAGUGAGCAUAUUCAUAAACAUCCACAGUGUAUAACAGCUGGCUCUCACGUUGUAGCACGUUGUAGCAUUUCAUUUACAAGAAAAUAUUAAAACAAGAUAGACAAGAAACAAUAGGACUGGGUUCAACCAUGAGAUGGGAUCCAUGUCACCAACUGGAUUUAUUUAAAGGAGUUGUAAAUCUAAAAUGGUGAAACAAUUACUACUGAAUUAUUUUGAUGAUAUAGUUGAUUCAUCAUUUUCCUUUUCUUUCCAUACCAAGGGUAGUCAAAGGUAAGGGAUGGUCAAACUUGGAACAGCAACAUAUAAAACUAAAAUGAACUACACAACAAAAUUUUGUUUCUGAAUAACAACAAAACAUAGGUUAAUAUGGCCUGCCAGCCCAAAAAAUAGGCGUUGGCAUCAUAGUUUAGUGCACUCAUGAAAGAUCGGGCUCAAGUGUAGAGCAGCCAUAUCAUGCAGUAAUGAUGGAAUGGUAACUCUACAUCGAGUCCAUUUCCCACAGCAAAUACAAUGGCCUAAUCGACUUACCCUUUUGUGUAAAAUCUUAUGCCUACCUGAUUACAACAUUCACUUCACAAACUCUAAAAUAGAAGCAUAUAAUGCCUAAUAGAAACCUGUGCAGGCAUAACUUAACAACUUACUUCUUCAGUAUAAAAUUAUAUUACACAAAAACUAACAACAAUUGAUAUAGUAUUGUUUGAAAGCGCCGCUCGUGGCAUGGAAAGAGUAUAGGUCAGAUAGUAACAUUCUAAAAUAAAGAUAUUCAGUAGAUAUAAUAUGGGUUACUAGAAACAUCAACCAGCUGAUGCUCAGAAAUGGAUUAAUGAACAUAUGCAGUAACUUGUAAUGUAUCCAUAGAUACAUUAGCAGAGUUGGUAAGAUUCUGACUAGUAUCUUGGUUCAUAUUAUUUGGAUCUUUUGCAGAAUUUUGAUCUUUAUUAUCAGAAAAUUCAUCACCUACGCUCUGACCAUGCACCACAGUAUUAUCUGCAGAAAGGAGAAUUUGUGAUGAGGAAGGGAAUAAGGGAGGGAAAAUAUCUCUCAAUUCAAUAUUUCAUUCAAAUCAUGGUUUAAAAUGGAAAUACAUCCUUUACCCAUACUUGUACCGCUUACUAGACCUUAUAGAAACUACUACUACAUCUUCCUUCUAAUAGCUACCAAAUCCUAAAUAUAAAAAUAAAAAAUUUGCUAUUGCAACUAAAUAAUCUAUAAGACUGCGGUUAUUCCUAACAGUUAUGCUCUUUGGUUCUUUGGAAGCUAAUUUUCUUGAGAAUGAAUAUUUCAUGUAAAUGUGUUUAACAAGAAAUGUUUUUCUAAUUUAACCAUAUAAAGUGACGGCUAGGAUAUCAACAUUGAUGCCAACUGGUAUGUGUUAAACUAGUAUAUUUUAUUUUGUUUCUUUUCUAUAGUAACUCACAAAACUUAAAUUACCAAAUUUAUUGAUGUGUUUUAGACUUGCAAAUUGAUAGGUCUCCAAGUUAUGGCAUGGAUAUUUAGCUUGUCAAUCCUUAAAAUAAAACAUAUCUUCUAAUUUUUAAAGAAUCGAUGUCAUUUACCUCUUGCUUCCUGUUUUCUAAGUUAAAAUUAUAUAAUAAUACUGAAUUUUAUCAUGUAUCAUUUAAAUAAUAAUAUGAAAAAUUAGAAGAUCCAACUAUAAACUCUGCCUAUCCUAAUUUACUAUCCAACUUAAUCUUGUGAGGUUUUAAUCAUGUCUUUUUCUGGAAUACCAUCAUAAAAUACUGGUUCUACACCAAAUUCAGAUUCCCCUAGACUUUCAGUUAGAGCUUUAUAGGAAAAAUAUAUCGAGCAUGGGCCAACCAUCAAAUUUAUUAUUCAGCUUAAUCUAUGUGAGGUUUUAAUCAUGUCUUAUUCUGGAACACCAUUACUAAAGAAUGGUUCUACACCAAUCUCAGACUCCCCCUGGAUUUCCAGUUAGAGCUUUAGUGGGAAAAUAGACUAAGCAUGGCACAUCGUAGGAAAAACCGUGGCUACAAGAGUGGGGAAUAUAUCUUUUAGGUGACUGUAAUAGUCAAAAUAGCAUUAUGAAAUUUGCAGUGAGAAGAUACGACCAAUUAAUGCAUUAACUAUAGGUAAUUUGUAGCAAAUACCAGAAGUUCCAACCAGUACUCCAAAGGCAAAGGCACAUAACAAAUAUAAUUAAGAAGGACGACGCAUAUUAACCCUAACAAUUAAACAUGUUACCUAAGGCGUGCAAUGCAGAAUCAGUACUCAUGAAAGGUCGGCAGCUCUAAGAUGUGCAAUGCCGAAUCAGUCAGCGUUGUGAAACGUCAGCGGCACAAGGGGCAUGAGUUACUCUUAGUCAACAACUGGGAAAUGCAAAUGUGGUGAUACAUAUGAGAGCACGGCAAGCGGAUACAUACGAGACUGAUAUGAUGAAGUAAUCCUGCAUAUAUUGCAAUACUUAUCUAAUCAUUAAGGUGUACAAAUCACCAAAUGCACAAACAAUAAUUCAUAACUAAAAUUAGUUGAAGUAUAAGAUCACAUUAAUUUAUUUUUUUAAAUAAGUAUUAAGUACAUAAGAGAACUGUCCAAAAAGAGUAGAACCCAUGGAAAUUGGGAGUAGUUUACAGGUCAAAUAGAAAGCAAUUAAAAGGAAGAUCCAUCACAAAAUAUGAGGUAAACUAAAAUGGGCAUAAGCAAUGUAAUCACACUAACCUUAUUAUUUAAUAAAAGGAAAGGAAUGGCAAGGUUGAGUAGACAAGUAUACAAAACCAUCCAACAAGAAGCUAAUACAAAAAUUUACCACAAGAGGAAAAGUGUCACGAUCCACAAAUAACUCCAAUAUUACUCUUUCAAAAAGAUAAGGUGGAAAGGUCGUCCAAGGAAAAUAUGCUUAUACAUCAUAGGAGAAAGCACCUGAUUCUCAAAAAAUGUAGUUCAGUCUUUCUGAAAACUUCAAAGAAGACAUGAAUCGACCAAAAAUAAAUUAUUCAAACAGAAAAAUUCUAAACAAGGACGAAGAAAUUAAAUCAAAAUGAAUUGGGGAAGGGAUCGAGAAAUAGGAGAAGAGGACGAUCGAGUGACUUACUUUGAUAAUUCUUCGAGGUAAAUUGCUAUUCGCCAAUGAAGAAGCUUCAAUUACAAAGUACGCUAACAAAGAUUUUCAGAGAGACGCGAUUCACCUCCUCGGCUCCAAACGUCGCUUGUAGAAUGGCGCCACCACUAUGUCACUGCUGCCGCCACCACUACGCCGCCACUAUUUCUAGGGUUAAAGGGAGUCGAGAGGUUGGGGAAUGAGAUGGGCUGCAUAUCUGAGUGAGAGAGUUGAGCUUAUGAAAUAAGAGAGAUAGAGUUAGAUAGAGACGGGAAAGUACUAGAAGGAAAAAA